AUUUUGCUUUUUCCUAAUUUUGAACUAACAACAUAAACGCCUCAUCUGGAGAAAAACAAACGCCAGUACUUUUUCCCUUCCCAUACAUUUUGAAACGCCACCUUCUUAUGGGUCUCUUAACUACGGCUCCUUCUAAUCCCCGUUUUCAUUCACAUGUAAAUUUCUUUAACGUGAUGAUUCUCUCAUAUACUGCAAACUUCAACCGUCUAUUGGAAUUUGUUGCAUGCUUUGACUCCGUGAGGCUUAUCUUCGUUGGUGCGAUUGUUAUGUUGGUAACUUCUAAUUUACAGCAUCUGAUGCAGUACAAAUAAUCUUUCAUCCUUCUUUCGAUUUUUCCCUCUUUGCCUAUUCUUAGUUUAUUAUUUUGUCCUGCUUGAAUUUUUAAUUUUCCUUGACAAAAGGUUGAAAUUAAAGUGUAAAUGGACUGUGGUAAAUGCGAAAUUAGAGCACCAAUAAUGUUAAGAACUUGGAAGGUUUGCACAAUUUUAAAACAUUAUCACUCUUCUUGAUUACCGGGAGAAUAAAAAACUUUGAUAGUUGAUUUUCUAGAAAAAGAUUUUCUCAUUUUCCAUUUACUUUCCAAGGGUGCUUAAAUACAACUCCAAAUAUUUUGCCCUUUUUCCUGUCCUCCUUUUAAUAAAAGUUUUUACACAUUCCAAUUAAUUUAAGAGUAUCAAAAGUCCAAUUUUCCAACUGAUUUUAAUAUUUUAUAACUUUGUAAUCCCGUUCAGUGCAUUCUACGUUCAAGUGCAGUAACUAAUUUUUUCCGUAUACCUUGCAGUAAUCAAUUGAGUACUGUGCAUGACAUAUCUUGCUAACUAUUGAUGAUCAACAUUGCAACUUUAUUUGCCGCAAAUAAUUUGCUAAACGCUCUAUGGAGGUUGACAUGCGUUUUUUUAAUCCACGUAUUUCAAACAAAAACACUGGGGUAUUACUUCAACAGAGAUUUUUAGUAGUAAUUCAGUUUGGCUUAUAUGUCUUCCGAUGAGUUUCUGAUCAAACUAUAGAUUAUAACACAUGUACCGUUAACAAUAUUCAAGGUUUUGCAUAACUAAGAGGCUUUUUUUUCGGAGCUUUUAAUUCAUUUAAUUAAAUAAAAAGAUAAUUUGCUUACUAAUUCAGCCGAUUUUGUUCGCUGGUUAUUCUCAUAAUAAUGGAGGGAAGAAUCACUGUUUUGUCAAGCAAGCUGAUUGAAUUAGAGGCGUACUUUUUGUAAUAACUUACUCAAUGCUAUGUACAUGUGUAUGUCUGGGUGGAAAAUAUUAGAUCAAGACCUUUACAUUUUCCGCUUUAUUUUGGUUUUUCUUUGGAGAUGCAUUCAAUUCCCUUACCUAAAUGUUGUUAUUGGGCCUAUAUAUGGAGAAGCUUGGGAAGAUUUUAUUUUGUCUGCAAAUCUACUGAUCUAAUGUGAUGCUCAUUUUUUAGUCCUCUGGUUAUACGAGCUAAUGCAAAUGUGAUUAGUAUCGUUGCAAAUAUGCGGUUUCAGCUGAAGAGUUAUCAGAUUUGUUACGAUUUUUGUUCCAGUGCAGUCAAAGGGCACAAUAAUUUCACAUGGAGUUUCUUUUAAUGCAGAAGAAAGUAUAAAAUGAGAAGAUGUGAAGCAAUGGACUGAUUGAUAGUUUUGAGGCAAGUUGUCAAGGGAUCAAAACUGUUUAUAUCCAGAAACCUUGUGAGUUCCCAUGAAGUUUUGAUCUAGGAUUUCCUGUUUCACUAGGAAUGUGAAUGGACAUGUAAUUUAGCGGCCAUUGUUUCUCAGGAAACAUGUUUAGGCCCAACCUGUUGGAAAAUUUUAUUGAUUUCGGGCAAGUCCUUUUCCGUGAUAAAAGGUCUACACAACAGAGUCCAAAAAUACUUAUGAAAUUUGUCUUGUUUUUAGCUUUAUUGAUUGAGGCUGUAAUUUCUUUCAAUAAAGCUUCUUACUUUAGUAUAUAAGCUUCUUUAUCGUUUAACUGAAAGUUUAUGAUCGUUUUUAGAUGAAAUAGAGGAGGAAUUGUGUGUU